AACGAACGCUGGCGGCAGGCUUAACACAUGCAAGUCGAGCGCCCCGCAAGGGGAGCGGCAGACGGGUGAGUAACGCGUGGGAAUCUACCCAUCUCUACGGAAUAACGCAUGGAAACGUGUGCUAAUACCGUAUACGUCCUUCGGGCGAAAGAUUUAUCGGAGAUGGAUGAGCCCGCGUUGGAUUAGCUAGUUGGUGGGGUAAAGGCCUACCAAGGCGACGAUCCAUAGCUGGUCUGAGAGGAUGAUCAGCCACACUGGGACUGAGACACGGCCCAGACUCCUACGGGAGGCAGCAGUGGGGAAUAUUGGACAAUGGGCGCAAGCCUGAUCCAGCCAUGCCGCGUGAGUGAUGAAGGCCCUAGGGUUGUAAAGCUCUUUCACAGGUGAAGAUAAUGACGGUAACCGGAGAAGAAGCCCCGGCUAACUUCGUGCCAGCAGCCGCCGUAACAC
rnacentral:rRNA from 1 species